CAGCACUCCAGCCUGAGUGACAGGAAAAAAAAGAAAAAAAAAGAAGAUUUAAAUAAAGGAAGGGAUAUGAUAUGUUUAUGGAUUAAAAACAAGUUAACAAACACAAAAAUUUAUGUAUAAAUUUCAUGUAAUCCCCAUUAAAAUCCAGGCCGAUGUGUGUGAGUGUGUGUGUUGGGGGUUGCAGAGGGGUUACCAAGCUAAAGUUUACAUGGGAAUGGACAGGGUAAGAAUAGCAAGAUGACCUUGAAGACGACCAAAGCGAGGGACUCAGACCACAGGUGCCAAUGCCCACUACAAAGCUACAGGAGUCUGGACCAGGCCAUACCGUGGUCAGUGAAGUGGAUUGUAGGGUCCAGAAACAGACACACACACGGGACGCUUGGUUCACAACAGAUUCAGGAUUACAGAUCAAGGAAACGGGGGACGUCUUUACUAAAGGUGCCAGCGCAGUUGCAGAUCCGUACAGAAUGCAGGAAGCUGGAGCCCCACGUUUUCCCACGUGCAGUCUGCAGAUGCAAAUACGGAGGCUGAAACAAACACGUCUGGAAGAAAUCACAGGGGAGUGUCUUCCCUGCUGUGCCCAGGAUCCGUGGGUGAGCAAGACAGGGUCCCUGUCCAGAUGGGGUUUCAUUUGGGGGUGCAGAGCGGGUGCAGAAGGGCUCCCAGCGCCAGCCGGAGCGCUACAGACAUUGAACAGACUAAUGGUAGUGAUGGCAGAAAACAUCAAAUGGUUAAAACUCCGUGAAUUUAUCAAACCACUUUCGAAACCUCCUGUCCUUCUCGGAUGCUGUUAGGGCACCAAGCCGUGACGCUGAGAACUGGCAAAUAGGGGGAGGAAGCAAGCAUGGGUCCCGGCUUUCCUGCAGGAACUUUCUCACCCAGCCGAGCAGCUCACGGGAGAAAGCUCUUUCCAGAGGAUCUCCAGCGAGUAAACGCAGAAGGAGCAAUGGGAUCCGAAGAUCGCCGUUUUGCAAACCUUCAUGAAACGCCAGAGAUGAGAGGCACCAGGACACCCUGUGCCCCCACAGUGUGUUGAGGGCAGGAGCCGGCACUGCCUGGCAAACCCGAGGCUGGAGGAAAUGCAAGGAUGGAGGAGCUCGUCAAACCCAGCCAGGCAGAAGCAGCAGCAGCCCAAGAGUGGGCAUCCCACGGGACGAACAGCCCGGGAUCCACACGCAGAUGCCCAGAAAGCGAGAGGACAGAGGGCGCGGGGCCGGAAGACACACCUCGGCCAGCGCAGCAAGGAAAACACAUGACCGCAGCUGUUUUCAGUCAGGGAAAUGUGAACAGGCUGAAUAUUUAGGACUCAAUUGUGAUGAUUACAUUGCGACUAUGUUUUCUAAAAAGGAGAAAUUUUAUCUGCUGGGGGCACAUACCACAGUGUUUAUGGACGCAGUGGAAGGACAUCUUCGUUUGAUUUCAAAUACCCCACGGGAGGAUUUAUGAGGCUAGAGGGAGCCUGGCUGUCACUGAAGCUUGGUGAUGCAUUCAUGGAUUCAUUUUCCUAAUAAAAAGUUAUAGAAUUAUGUAAGAGUGGAUAAAAGAAGGACAUUAAACAAAGGAAGUAAAAGGAAAUCUCCUUA